rnacentral:rRNA from 1 species
AAUAUUAAAAAGUAAUGCAGUAGUUGAAAAUUCCGUUGAAUUGCGUGACAUUCAGACUCUCAAGGUGUGAUGAGCGCUGUGAUUCUGGGGAAUAAGGAGUGUUUAGGGGCCAGGGUAUUAAACGGCAAGCGUGAAACGGCAAGCGGUGAAAUGUGUUGACCCGUUUAGGAGCGACAGAGGCGAAACGCUGGCCAGGGGCAAAUCCGAUGAUAAAGGACGUAGGCUAGAGGAUCGAAGACGAUUAGAGACCGUUGUAGUUCUAGCAGUAAACAAUGCCGAUGUUGUGUGCCGUAACGGACGCAAAAGAGAAAUCUAGUAGGGCCCUGGGGAGAGUACACGCGCAACAGGAAAUUUAAAGAAAUUGACGGAAGAACACCACAAGGAGUGAGUNUCCGGCUUAAUUU